GCUCUGUGUCCCGUGGGCUCGUGGCUCUGAAGGAAAUGCCACUGAAAAAGGGAGUAAAACUUCAGAAUUCAAUUCCAAAACUGGAAAUUUGCCUUUGGAAAUCCCGGACAUCCAAUCCCACGGCUCUGUGAGCCCACGGGAGCCCUCGGCACACCCAGCUCAGGUGGUGCUGGAUCAGUGACUCUUCCCCCUGUCCCAGGCUGCUCCAAGCCUCAUCCAGCCCGGCCUUGGGCACCUCCAGGGAUCCAGGGGCAGGAUAAGCUCCAUCACUUGCAGCCUUUUCCCAGCUCUUUCCUCUCUCUGAGCCCCGUUUCUGCCUCUUGCCAAACAGGUUUGAAUUUCCAGACCGUGGCUAUGAAAACGCAGCUCAACCCCCUCCUGCACAGCGCUAAAAUAUGGCUUUUUCCCCUUUUUAAUAUCCCCUAAACGAUGACCUUUUCCCUCCUUCAGCAGGCAGCCAACACAAGCACAACAAUGUGAUUUGUGCAGCAUUUCAGCUGUGGUUUCUUCAAGAAAUUCAUCUGCUCUCGAAGCAAUUACGGGCAGGGAAGCAUUUCCACUCCGGCUUCGGGCCCUGAAAAGCUGCCAGGAGGGAUUUUUUUUCCUUCCCCUCCUCUCUCCCUCUUGCUCCCUCAGCCCCCCUUGUCCUAAAAAAAACUUCUGUGGUUUCAUUGCAGCAGCAAUUCUGGGAUGGUUAAAUCCCAGCCUGGUGCAGGUGGGAAGGGGCUGGAUCCGUGUCCCUGUCCCUGCUGGAGUGGGACCGGGUUUGUGCAGGAUCAUCCCCCCUGAGCAGCACCAGCUCCUGGAGGGGACACCGGGCACGGUGCCACCCCCUCCUCGUGCCUGCUGUGCCCUUCAGGACCUUCCCCACAGCACAUGGGGCCCAGAGGGCAGAGGGAACCCGCAGGACACGGCUCCAUCCCGCUGGGCGACUCUGCCAGCACCCAGGGCUUGGGACAACGGGCCUUAAAUGAGCCCCGAAGUCAACAGCACGGUUAAUUGCUCAUUCAUUCCUCGGAUGGGUUAAUAAUUAAGUUAAAUUAAUAAUUGGGAGAAUAAUUAAACAAAACAAUAACCCAUACCCGGCACGAUUGAAGCGCUCGCUGUUCGUGCCGGGGUUUUGGGGUUACUCAUUCACUUUAGGGCCGCUGUGGCGUCGGGCUGGCUGUGCCAGGGAUGCGGCUCCAAGAAUCCCGUGGAAAACCGGACUUUUCCAGGCAAAACCAUCGGCUCUUCCCUCCCCUGGAGAGCGGCGGGGUCCCGGUGAGGAGCGGAGCUUCCCCGACCCCCGGCUCCUCCCGAACCGCCCGCGCCCUCCCCUCCCCGCGGAGGGACGGACGGACGGACGGACAGAGGGUGAGAGGGACGGACAGAAGGGCGGAGGGAGGCGGCUCUAGGCCGGGGGGGAGGAACUACAAGUCCCGUGAAGCCGCACCGCCCGCCCGCCGCCGCGGGGCUAUAAAAGGGGGAAUGGCCCGGCAGCCGCAGUCGGAGCAUCCCUGGCUGCGGCGGAGCCGCUCCCGCUGCCCAUCCCGGCGCUCCCGGGGCUAUUCCCGGUGGGAGCGGGCCGAUAUCCGGACCCCCGGAGCGGGCUGGGGCUCUGCAGAAGGAGGAUGAGGAGGAUGCCGCUCGGCGCGCCGGGGGAGCCGCAGCCCCGGGCGGCUUCGGGCGCUGCCGGCGGAGGCGGAGGUUUCGGCAUUCCUGCAGGGACAGCUCCCAUCGGCCCCGGGAGCUGCUGGAACCUCCUUGUGCCGGCGGUGGGGACGCCAGGACAGGAGUGGCACUUGUCCCCUCGGCCAGGGAAAGGCUCCCGAGGCGGGAUUUGGCCCUGGAUGGUUCCUCUGCGCUGGGAUCCCGAGCCCCGAGCCUCGCCUGGGGUUUGGAUGCUCCCUUCUGUCUGCAGCUGGGAAUGGCACGGCCGUGCCUCCUGCUCCUCCCAAAUCCCGUGGAUUUACUGCUUUUGGCAUCGUCCUGCUGGGACUGGCUCCGGCACAGGGAAUCUCCCGAGGGACAAAUGGGAAAAGCAGCACUUAUCACAGCCUGAGGCUACAAUUCCCUCUUUUUCUGGGCUACUCUGAGCAUGCUGGCUCUGCAGGAAGAAGGAUUCCAUGCACUCCUGGAGGACAAAUCCUGCUGCUCUGAUGCCUCACCAUCGAUUCCGUGCCUCAAGCCCUGCCCUGCUCGAUGCUCCUGGAGGGUUUUUGGUGCCACUCUCCAGAUUCAGGCACCCAAAAAGGGACAAAGAGCCCCAAAUCCACUCCCCUCUGAGCACCAAAUUCCAGAGUCCGUGCUGAAGGCUCGGAGUGAGGGACAGAGGGACAGCCAGGACAGCCAGGAGCAGCUCCCGGGGACAGGACGGACACUGCAGCUGGAGCUCAGGGCCACCAGGGCCACCAGGGCCACCAGGGACCAGCAGGGACCAGCAGCUCCCCUGGGCAGCGAUGGAACGUCAGGGCUGGGAGAGGCUCUGCCCCGAGCUCCAAACACAAAUCCAGCUCCACACCCCCCAGCCUGGCUGGGCUGCACAUCCCUGCAGGAGCUGAGCUGCUCCCACCUGGAACUGACAGGACAAAUGAGCAACUUUCUGCUGGGCUUUGGGAAUUACCCUUUUGGAUCCUGCCAAUGGAUGGAUGGAUGGAUGGAGAAGAGCUCUUGGGUCGAGCAGGAGCUCAGUGCUGUUCUCUGCCAAGGACCAAGCGCUUCCCCGGUUUCCAGUGGAUUUUUUUUCUGGUGUUUAUUUUUACCCCUCUGCUCUUUUUUUUUGCUGCUUUUUGGGGCUUUGGGUGUUUCCUGAGGAUGCUGGAGCUGCAGUGGAUCCCGUGGUGGGAGCUGGAGCCUUUGAAGAGCAGGAGCUGAGCUGGUGCUGGGCUUUCAGAGUGGCAGAGGCUCAUCCUGUGCUGGGUGGCCUCAGGAGGCUCCUUCUGCCCCAGCUGGAGCAUCCCAGUGCAUCCCAGUCCAGGUGGGACCGCGGAGCAGGAGCAGGAAUGGGAGGGAAACCCAACCCCAGCGAGGGGAAUGUCACAGUGAGGGGAAUGUCACCCUCAGAGACAAUUAAAUUGCAUUUAAUAAACCAACCCCACUGGC